CUUCAGUCGACAGGUGGCGCUGUAUUUUACCAUAAAAAUAACAACAAACUCACAUGGUGACAGGGAAAUCUGCUCACUGUAUGGAUGGAGUAUUUAUCACAUAUAACGUAUUCUUAUUUAGUGGAUGUGAAUUUUUACAAAAUUCUUUUUUAAAUCCAGUUUUUUUCAUGAUAGGUGUAGAUGGCAUUGCUUGGAUAUGUAAUGUGGAAAUGAAAUUUGUGCCUUGGAGAGACAUUCAAUGCCUUCUGCAAACUACAGUAUAGAACUAUUGCAUUGAUAUAUUUGAUAGCAGUGUACUGAAUAGAAUUUUGUGGACUCAAAAGAAUGCAGAAAUUAGGACUAAUACGUUCUGUCGUUUAGACACCUGCACCCCAACACCUGUAUCCAGUCACGUGAACAAUUCCCAGUGAUGCCAUUGGUUGUGCUUUAUCAUCUUCAGUAUCCCAUGAUGCAAAUUUCAACACUGAUAACAUUCUCAAUUGUUUUGUCUCAGAAAUGAUUAUUGAUUUACAUAAUAAUAACUCUCCCCAUGAACCUUACCAGGCAUUUUAUUCCAGAAUCAUGUUCAAGCCUCUAUAAUUUUAGGUGUGUAGUUUAUUAUUUUUCCUGCUGCAUGAUUUAAUGAUAAUGCUUUGUAUAAUUAUUUUCAUUUUAUCAAAUUAUGCAUACUUCUGUAAAUCAUUUAAAACAUUUAUAAUUGAAAGUGUGCUAUACAUUAUAAGUUAUUAAUUGUUUGUAUUUUAUCUUUAUUGUUGUUUGUUUUUAUUUUUAAUGUUAGUACUAUUAUCAGUUUAAAAUUUAAUAAAUUGAAAUUAUCAAUCAUCUUCAAGUGUUCGGACAUUUAUCGUCAUAAUG